rnacentral:lncRNA from 1 species
UCCCACAUCCGGACAGGCCCUAGCUUCCGCCACAUUGAACGCAGUGCCGGUGUUGGCAUAUGAUAACGCACCCGCUGAGGCAGGACCAUCUGGAAGGACUGACAACAGCAAGAAGAAGAAAAAGAGGCCAAAUAGGCCCUUGCCAGGAGCAAGAUUUUGUACUUUCCAUCAACUAUACGGGCAUGACACCAGCGAGUGUCGGGAUGCCAACCGGCGCCCUGAUCGAAGCAACCCCCACACUUCCAGCAGAAACGAGCACCCCCGCAGAUCCACCUCCCCG